UGUACACCACUGACAAAGUACGAAGAACUGCUUGAGAAACGCAUGUGAGACUACACGAUGUCCAGCAAAUCUCAACGCACAAUGUAGAACAUCAUGCAAUGGUUGCCGAGCUCACUUUUACGAUUUUAAUCAGGAGGUUAUCGGAAAUUGCAAAUGUACACGUGGUUAUGUCGAGCCAAACUGUUAUCAACAGCAAUGUGAAAACUAUAGAUGCAUCACAAAUAGUCAGCAGAUAUCUCACUACUAUGCCAGUCAAUACUACAACCCCAACAUACUAUGUCGUAUGAGCAGCUGUGGUGGAUGCUUUCCCCAAUUCUACGAUAGACGUGGACGAAGAAUCAAUUGCAGACAAAUAUUGCAAUAUUUAUCAAAUCCAGGAAUUCCAGUGGCAAAUCUACCAAUAGCCGGAUGAGUACUGAAGACUAUCGAAGACAGACCUUGACACAACAACAACAUAGUAAUCCCAAACAAAACUUACCUGAUUUAGGCCUGUUAUCCGUGUUUACAAAAUAUAAGGACAAAGACUUGAAGCAUUAUUCAAACUUUUCCAAGCUGAUAUAAAUACAUGCCCAAGGACAUUCACAAUCAUGAGAAUUUGGUCUCCGUGUGGUCAAGUGAACAAUAAAUUAACUUUUUAUGGCCGUGGAAUUGUGGUGGAAUACCAAAAAUGAUUUUUGGAUACUCCCGUAUAAUGUAAACCAAGAUGGCGGACAACAGAACGUAGUAUGUGUACCAGGUAGGGCCAUAAUCUCAAGUACAAAUUCUACGGGAGUCACUUGGCUAGUCGCCGAACUCGUAAUAGAACUAAAAUAGGGAAAAUUGGAAUCAAAUUCAGGCUUAACCCUAACCUGGUACACAUACUACGUUCCGCUGUCCGCCAUCUUGGUUCACAUUCUACUGGAGCGCCGAUUUUUGUCGUUUUACCUUCAGCCACAUCUCUAGUUACCACAUCCACAACGUCAUUUAUACUGUUUAUUUAUGCCAUUUCCAUCGUGAAAUAUAUAUUUAAAUGACAAAGA